CUGUUGAAACCAAAAUCAGGACCCAAAUGUAACGCGCGCAAACUCGCAAGGACGGAAAAAACAAAUAAACCAUGCCCCAGAACAAUUCAUUUCCGCGCGGACUGAAAUGAGUAGACGCACAAAUUCUUGGGACAAUUUAAAAAAAAAGGAAAAUAUAAACAGGUUUUAAUUACAAGUCAGUGCAAAAAGGGAGGGACCAAACGCGCAACUUAACCAUUUAAAGAGAAUAUGCGCGUAAACCAAGUCAAAACGCGUUCUGUUUCUUCCCCCCAAAAAAGAAAUGCUAUUUUAUUUUAUUACUUAAAUAAAAAAACUGUUUUAAAAUCAUUUGAUUUUUGCGUUUAGAAAAAAAACCUAAUGCUCCCAAAUCUCUUUACCUUUUCUCUCCAGCCGAAAAGCUAUGUUCAAGCUUUCAACCGCCCGCUUGUACCGGCGAAGUAAGGCCCUCCAAUGGUGCGAGCACGACGCGCGAUAAGUUUAUUCUCCUCUCUCUGAUCCUUCGCAUGUGUUGUGGAUCCAAAUGAAAAAAAGAAAAAAGAGGAAAAAUAGAAUAAAAUUGCAGUAAAUAAUCACCUUAGAAGUAUUCUUGGUUGCUUUUCUACUAAUUUUCAUAUGUAUUUUGUAUUAUCACUCGUCCGUCAAAAAAAACAAAUGAAAAUUCGUGGCCUUUUAUAGCCAUUUUUACAUCUGUUUCUUCUCCACUAGUUGCAGGUAUGGCGAACGUGGUUCGAAGUGCAAGGAUGUGGGGCGGGCAAUACGCGAGUCAAGGGGUCGUGUGUGGGGCGUGCGUUGGUGGCUGCUGGUGGCUGCGGCGCAAGGCAAAUAGAACCCUAGGGCUUGCUAUUUCUGAAAACGAUUUGGGCCAUUGGGCUUGUGUAAUCAAGUAUUGGGCCAUUGCAAAGUUUUGGGCCUAGUGUAACUAUAUUUGGGAUUGUUUUUUUUGUUUUAUUUUUUCUGUAUAUGUAUGGGCUCGGGCUAAAAAUUGAGUCUACAACAGUGAUAUAAAAGUUUCUCAAAGUUUGUUUUACAUUUAAGGGCACACAUGACAUUUUAUAAAAAUUGUUCUAACACUUUAAUCAAACUAAGAAAACUACAUAAAUUUAAGAUGUCUCCCAAACAUUAAGCUAAUUAUUCCUUAUGUUUUAAGAAGCCAUUUUAAUACUCAUAUAAUAAAUAAGGUUUUCUUAUAUUUUUACACGCGAUAUUAAGAUUUUAUAUAAGAGAAAGAGAACAAACAUUUAGUUAACGAUAACUAAGUAAGAUAAAUUGAAAAAUCGAAAAACGACCUAAAUUAAAGUGUUUGAACUAUUUAUGAAAUACAAAUUUAAAGUGGUUACUUGAAAUCGAACUAAAUUUUAUUUUUAUUUAAUAUAUAAAUUAUUUUAAUUUUUUAUGGUAUAAAAUAAAUAUUUUAUAUUUAAAAUAGUAAAAUAUUUAAACGAAAAAUUAUUUUGUUUUAUAAAUACUAAUGAAAAAAAUUUAGAAAUUUUGUCAAAUCAUAUUCAAAAAUUAUAAAACAAAGUUUAUUUUGUUAAAAUAAAUUUAAAAAUAGAAAAUCAAACAUUAAUAUAAAAAUCGAGAACCGAACCGCACAUCGAAUUAUGAAAAAUUAAAAAAUCUAAAAAAAUCCCAUCAAACAUAUCACCCUAGACUGAAUUAUAAUUUUCUUAAUUUUACUAGAAAAAGAAAAGGCAAAUAAGAGAGCAGAAUGGUCUAAUCUAAUUCUAAAAAAAAAAAAAAAAUCAGAUUGCAUGCAAAUUGUCCG
rnacentral:lncRNA from 1 species